GCCCAGGUAACCACAGCAGGGCACAAACAGUGCCACAGCUGGGAGCCCCUGGGGUGCACCCGCCUCCCCUGGGUGACACCAACGCUCAGAGCAAACAGCACUGCGGGCUGAUCUCCUUCAGCCCAGGGGUUCUGCUGGAGCUCUGGCUGCUGAGAAUUUGAGACUUUCUGUGCUGCCAGGCACUGACCCCCAGGAGAACACGGCACUGGCCUGAGGCUGUGGAGAAGCUUCCAAAAUGGAAUGGGUUUCUGCAGUUUUCCCUCCCACCUUUCCAGGCAGAGAAAGGCCCUGAGGAAAACAUGAACAAACCCAACUCUGCAUAUAUUCAAGCCAAAGGGUUAAUCUAGAGAAUUUCAUCACUUCAAAGAGGCUUUCCAGAAAGGCAUUUGAGUCACAACAGAGAAAUUAUUGCAAAA